UACGGGGGGGGCAAGCGUUGUUCGGAAUUACUGGGCGUAAAGGGCUCGUAGGCGGCCAACUAAGUCGGACGUGAAAUCCCUCGGCUUAACCGGAGAACUGCGUCCGAUACUGGAUGGCUUGAGGUUGGGAGAGGGAUGCGGAAUUCCAGGUGUAGCGGUGAAAUGCGUAGAUAUCUGGAGGAACACCGGUGGCGAAGGCGGCAUCCUGGACCAAUUCUGACGCUGAGUGAGCGAAAGCCAGGGGAGCAAACGGG
rnacentral:rRNA from 1 species